GAUGAAGAGCGCAGCGAAAUGCGAUAAGUAAUGUGAAUUGCAGAAUUCAGUGAAUCAUCGAAUCUUUGAACGCACAUUGCGCCCGCCAGUAUUCUGGCGGGCAUGCCUGUUCGAGCGUCAUUACAACCCUCAGGCCCCCGGGCCUGGCGUUGGGGAUCGGCGGAGCCCCCCGUGGGCACACGCCGUCCCCCAAAUGCAGUGGCGGUCCCGCCGCAGCUUCCAUCGCGUAGUAGCUAACACCUCGCGACUGGAGAGCGGCGCGGCCACGCCGUAAAACACCCAACUCUUCUGAAGUUGACCUCGAAUCAGGUAGGAAUACCCGCUGAACUUAAGCAUAUCAAUAAGCGGAGGA
rnacentral:misc_RNA from 1 species